CUUUCGUUCGUCUGCUAGGCUGGCUAUCGCAGUUAAAGAUACUUUGACUACAGAGACAUCUAUUGUUGUCAGUCGAGGAAACACUUAUGACUUUGUGGGAGAGAGAAAUAAUGUUUUGAGCAGUGAAGUGCCGCGGAAGUUUGGCGAAUUGUGAAAGUUUGGGGUAUUGUUUUGUUAGUGUCUAAUGUGAGAUUUGUGGCUGCUGGCUAUCGAAACUACUUCUAGGGAACUGAAAAUUUAUUUUGCUUUCGUUCCGAGGUUCAUUCUCUCGCUUAGAGAUGGUGUAGUUUCAGUCAAGUCAUUGCAGUCCUAACACCUGUGAAUGAAAAAUACAAUGCUGAAGUGAAGCACAAUGGCAGCUCCAGUGAAGCACAUUGAAUGGAAGUUUGGAGUAAACAAAGCCUGCAGUAUUUUAGGGUCGA